AUAAAAUAUACACCAGGAGAAAUUGUGAGAAUAGACAAAUCACUCUGCAAAAAUGAAAUUCUUCAUUAUUAUCUUAUUGUUAGUGGCAUUGGCAGCUGCUCAACCUGGGCAACGACAGCGUUGUAGACGUCUUCGAAAUCGGUGCAGUGACAGCAAGCAAUGCUGCUCAGGGUACUGUCGUGAUCGGCGUUGUAUCAGAUGGGGAACGAUUGAAGAUGAAAGAGACCUGACAUAUCCUUGUGCUUACACUACCUGUUCGGUGGGUGCAACUUGUGUAAUUGAUCAAGUCCAGUGCGUUCAGUCACCGUGUCCUGGAGUUGUCGCAUGUCGUUGAAAAACAUCACUCAUCAAAUUAACUUCUGUGUAGUUCAUGUUAAUCCAUUGUGGAUAAUUAGCAGAAUCGAUGGUAUGAGAAUAGAGUUAUGAGCAUUACAUUAUCAAGUCAGCAAUAUGUGCAAGUCAUUGGUAGUGAUUCACUUGUAGUUAUUACUGAUAUAAGAUUUUAAUGUCACUGUUGUUAAUAAAUAUUAGUCAACAGAUUCGUAUGUCAAUAGCCGACAGGUGAUUGUUUAAAUAAUUAGAAAUUCAAUAUGAGUUGGAGAAACAGAUUAAUAAAAAUUGAUAUUUUUCGAUUGUUUCACUUCA